CAGGUUUGGCCCUCCAACCCCACCCAGGAUGGCUCAGGCAGGUUUGGUCUUCAGUCCCCCCUCCUGGAGUCUUGUAGUAAUUUUUGUUUUCAGAAGGGGGUCACACUGUAAUGAAGUUUGAGAACUACUGAACUAGAAUAUUUCAAUUAGCAGUAAGUUUGCAUUCACUGUGGCCAUUCUUAAAUGUUCAGCAUUCUAAUAUCACAUUAAAGUUAUAGCUACAUUUUAUUUCAAGAAGUGAUGCUCCCACCCCAUCGCUGUCUCCCAAAUUCUUCAUAUUGACACCUUAUGUGGUUAGAGUGUGAGGCAUGCCAUGGAUUCACAUUGACUGUUUGCAGCAAUUCCCAAUGAAGUCUGUACUCCAUGAGACCAGUGGAACAGCUUCAACAGGAGUGUCUGAGGACCCACCCCAUCAGAUUAUGAUGUGAAAGACCUUCCCUCCCCCACUGCUACAAAAGGGGGAACUGAAGCUGGCUCUCCCAAACUCCGGGAAAAUUUCUCUGCAAGAAGUCAAGUGGACAUGAGGCAACUGAGAGAAGAUAGUGUAUAUAUAAUGGAUACGUACCACUAUAAAGGGGAAGAGCAUUCCUAUUGUGAAGAAACUCAGCCAACUAACAGAUCCUCCUAUCAUGUAAGCAGCAGGCCGUGAAGACUGUGUAAAUAAUUCAGCGGUCAGUGUAUUUGUUAUACCACCUGGGGAUCAGUUUCAGAAACAGAAUCCGUUCUUAGGGUAAGUGUGCAUUUUCAGGGAAAGUUUCAAGCAAGAAAAAGAAAAUAGUUGUUUUUGAAUAUGCCAUUAGCUGAUCUUGAUGUAAAAGAUAUAGAUAGAUCUAUAUAUAAAUCCCUUUUGUUAACUAAAUACUUUUUUAAAUGUUCUUUUUAGACACUUUUUGGUCUGAUUCUGAUAACCCCUAUUCACAAUAAGGUGUACCCUCUUACAAAAGUAGUCUUAUUGAUUUCAAUGGGACUGCUCAGGGAGUAAGAUACAACUUAGCAUGAGUAAGGGCCCAUUAAAAGUACAAUGACAACAAGGCUCAUAGAAUAGUAGGACUGGAGGAGACCUCGAGAGGUCAUCUAGUCCAGUCCUCUGCACUCAA